CACGUAGGCACCAAGCGUUGUCCGGAUUUAUUGGGCGUAAAGGGCUCGUAGGCGGCCAACUAAGUCGGAUGUGAAAUCCCCAGGCUUAACCUGGGAACUGCAUCCGAUACUGGAUGGCUUGAAUCCGGGAGAGGGAUGCAGAAUUCCAGGUGUAGCGGUGAAAUGCGUAGAUAUCUGGAGGAAUACCGGUGGCGAAGGCGGCAUCCUGGACCGGCAUUGACGCUGAUGAGCGAAAGCUAGGGGAGCAAACGGG
rnacentral:rRNA from 1 species